GCUGGUGGUUUGGCGCCGUGGGUACACCCGUUCUCAUUCCGAACACGGCAGUUAAGCACGGUUGCGCCGAUGGUACUUCUUCUGAGGGAGAGUAGGUAUCCGCCAGCU
rnacentral:rRNA from 1 species